CUCUGGCAUUACCCCGAGCUGCAUUUAUCUGACUCUGGGCCUACUUGGCAGCUGCCUCCUCUGCCCUCAAGGAAUGCCUGUGACUUGAUGGCUGAGUGCUGAUAAGAUGGGCCUUGGUGCUCUGUUCACUAGUCUCCCGGCAUAAUCAGACGUGCAAUCUCUGCCCUGAGUCACUCGGGAGGCACCCCUUCCGCCUUGCAUUUUUUUGUGGCCUCUCCCUCUCAUUCAUUAAAAGCAGCAGGAGCCAAUAUACAUACCCAACAGGGAGCUGGGAGAACUCAGUGGGGCUGUGGGAAUGAGAUCCAGCUUGUCUUCCUGACUGCAAUAGUUCAGAACCACCAGGAAACGGAGAUGAGGAAACUGAGGCAUGAAGAACUUCCUCAAUUUCUCUCUAGGAAAUUAAAAACUCUGGUGCUGGACAGAGGUCAUCUGGCUCUAGAGACUGUUCAGCAAAAUGGUUAAAGCAGAAGUCAGAUGGAUGGAGCCUUUUCCCGGCCAAAAGGAGACAAGUGAUACUGGAACAGCACAGAGGACUAUUCAUUUGGGGUGCAAGUUUGGCUGGAUGCCCACCUGAAACAGACUUUCCCUGACCCAGUCUGGGACUCCAAAGACUCCGCCAAGGUGAAUCAGGACAAAAAGAAGUGGAAAAUUCCCUAUUCACAUUUCACUGAGAAACUUGAACCAGAAAUCAAUGUUUCAGGCCCAGCCUGUCUCGUUUUCCCAGACAGGACUCCCUGACUCCCCAGUCUGCCCUGAGACGCGCUGUAGCAGAAACAGUGCAAAGCCGCUGUGAGGACUUUCAUGUGGCUUUCACUGCGAGAAAAACACCACCUCCCCCUGGGUGCCUUCAGAACACAGAUUCAUUGAGAAAUCUGGUUUUUCUUCCAGGCGGGGCAUGGGGACUAUUUUUCAAGGGAAAGCACAUGUAUAAUUGCUGGAGAAAUAUACACGUUUAAUUUCCUUUAAGCCCUUGAAGCUUUCUUCCUUAAAUAAAUCAUCCUGCAUGGUCCUGUGA